rnacentral:rRNA from 1 species
CCUACGGGGGGCUGCAGUGAGGAAUAUUGGUCAAUGGACGAGAGCCUGAACCAGCCAAGUAGCGUGAAGGAUGACUGCCCUACGGGUUGUAAACUUCUUUUAUAUGGGAAUAAAAUGAUCCACGUGUGGGAUUUUGUAUGUACCAUAUGAAUAAGGAUCGGCUAACUCCGUGCCAGCAGCCGCGGUAAUACGGAGGAUCCGAGCGUUAUCCGGAUUUAUUGGGUUUAAAGGGAGCGUAGGUGGAUUGUUAAGUCAGUUGUGAAAGUUUGCGGCUCAACCGUAAAAUUGCAGUUGAUACUGGCAGUCUUGAGUACAGUAGAGGUAGGCGGAAUUCGUGGUGUAGCGGUGAAAUGCUUAGAUAUCACGAAGAACUCCGAUUGCGAAGGCAGCUCACUAGACUGCAACUGACAUUGAGGCUCGAAAGUGUGGGUAUCAAACAGGAUUAGAUACCCGUGUAGUC